ensembl:miRNA microRNA 26b
UGCCCGGGACCCAGUUCAAGUAAUUCAGGAUAGGUUGUGUGCUGUCCAGCCUGUUCUCCAUUACUUGGCUCGGGGGCCGGCGCC